AGCAGAGUGGCUCAGUGGAAAGAGCAUGGGCUUUGGAGUCAGAGGUCAUGAGUUCAAAUCCCAGCUCUGCCA
rnacentral:tRNA from 1 species